rfam:Schistosoma mansoni, Puerto Rico, WGS project CABG01000000 data, contig: 0105
ACCGGCGACUAUACCUCAUUGAAAGCACCUGUUCUCGUCCGAUCACCGAUGUUAAGCAACGUUGGGUCCGGCCAGUACUUGCAUGGGUGACCGGCUGAGAAUACCGGGUGUAGCCGGCU